rnacentral:rRNA from 1 species
AGUAUCAUUAAGUGAAUACAUAGCUUAAUGAGGGGAACUCAGGGAACUGAAACAUCUAAGUACCUGAAGGAAGAGAAAGAAAUUCGAUUCCGUAAGUAGCGGCGAGCGAACGCGGAUUAGCCCAAACUAAUAAAGUUUUCUUUAUUGGGGUUGCGGACAUAUCAUAACGAAGAGGUAUCGUAAUUGAAGAGGUUUGGAAAGACCCACCACAGAAGGUAAUAGUCCUGUAUGUUAAACGAGAAGACUUUAGAUAUGAUCCAGAGUACCACGGGACACGUGAAACCCUGUGGGAAGCAGGAGGGACCACCCUCCAAGGCUAAAUACUACCUAGUGACCGAUAGCGUAUAGUACCGUGAGGGAAAGGUGAAAAGAACCCCGGGAGGGGAGUGAAAUAGAACCUGAAACCCUGCACUUACAAGCUGUGGAAGCACAUUUCUUGUGUGACCGCGUACUUUUUGUAGAACGGGCCAACGAGUUACGUUAAGUAGCAAGGUUAAGCACUUAAGGUGUGGAGCCGUAGCGAAAGCGAGUUUUAACUGAGCGUUCAGUUACUUGACGUAGACCCGAAACCGGGCGACCUACCCAUGAGCAGGAUGAAGCGAAAGGAAAAUUUCGUGGAGGUCCGAACCCACGAGCGUUGAAAAGCUCGGGGAUGACUUGUGGGUAGCGGUGAAAUUCCAAUCGAGCCCGGAGAUAGC